rnacentral:rRNA from 1 species
ACUCCUACGGGAGGCAGCAGUGGGGAAUAUUGGGCAAUGGAGGAAACUCUGACCCAGCGACGCCGCGUGCGGGAUGAAGGCCUUCGGGUUGUAAACCGCUUUCAGCAGGGAAGAAGCGAAAGUGACGGUACCUGCAGAAGAAGCACCGGCUAACU